AACGAACGCUGGCGGCAUGCCUAACACAUGCAAGUCGAACGAGACCUUCGGGUCUAGUGGCGCACGGGUGCGUAACGCGUGGGAAUCUGCCCUUGGGUUCGGAAUAACAGUUGGAAACGACUGCUAAUACCGGAUGACGACGUAAGUCCAAAGAUUUAUCGCCCAAGGAUGAGCCCGCGUAGGAUUAGCUAGUUGGUGAGGUAAAGGCUCACCAAGGCGACGAUCCUUAGCUGGUCUGAGAGGAUGAUCAGCCACACUGGGACUGAGACACGGCCCAGACUCCUACGGGAGGCAGCAGUGGGGAAUAUUGGACAAUGGGCGAAAGCCUGAUCCAGCAAUGCCGCGUGAGUGAUGAAGGCCUUAGGGUUGUAAAGCUCUUUUACCCGGGAUGAUAAUGACAGUACCGGGAGAAUAAGCUCCGGCUAACUCCGUGCCAGCAGCCGCGGUAAU
rnacentral:rRNA from 1 species